UACGGAGGGUGCAAGCGUUAUCCGGAUUCACUGGGUUUAAAGGGUGCGUAGGAGGGCAGGUAAGUCAGUGGUGAAAUCUCCGAGCUUAACUCGGAAACUGCCGUUGAUACUAUCUGUCUUGAAUACCGUGGAGGUGAGCGGAAUAUGUCAUGUAGCGGUGAAAUGCUUAGAUAUGACAUAGAACACCAAUUGCGAAGGCAGCUCACUACACAAUCAUUGACUCUGAGGCACGAAAGCGUGGGGAUCAAACAGG
rnacentral:rRNA from 1 species